rnacentral:lncRNA from 1 species
CGGUGGAGCCGCGCAGCCCACCCGCACCAAAGCUGCGGGGAAGAUGGAGCUCCCGGCCUGCCCCUGUCGCCACGUGGACAGUCAGGCCCCAAACACCGGUGUCCCCGUUGCCCAGCCCGCCAAAAGCUGGGAUCCAAACCAGCUAAAUGCGCACCCGCUGGCGCCUGUGCUGCGGGUCCUGAAGACAGCAGAAGGCGCGCUGCGUCCGCCGCCCGGAGGAAAAGGUUCAUGACAGCAUCAGAUUCUCUGCGGCAGGAGUACAGGUUGCAGCCACUCUCCCGCCGAACAUUGAAUACGUCUUUCCACCAUCUUGUCUUUGCUGUGGCUCUGGGAAAAUCAGCAGAGUCAGCCAUCACUCUCCAAGGGGAGCUGUCGGUUCUAUCUGCCAGCUUUUGAGUGUUCAAUUUGAUUUUUACUUAUUCAAUCUGGAAUUUGAAUGUCUUUGAUGUGUGCGCUGGUGUCAUUAUUCAAUUAUGGGACUCUCUCAGCCAUUAUGUCUUUAAAUAUUGCCUCCACCCCGUUCUGUCUCUUUGUCUUUGGAACACAAACUAAAUGUUUGCUAAGCCUUCUCUCUCUCCCGGUAUCUUUUAGUCUCCCACUUCUUUGUUUGAUUUAUUUAGCUGCCUGUGCUGCAUUCUAA